rnacentral:tRNA from 1 species
GGUCCGUUGGUGUAAUUCGGCAGCACACAUGGUUCUCAACCAGACGGCGCGAGUUCAAAUCUCGUACGGACUA